ensembl:lncRNA
UGAAUAUAGUCGCCCCCGAAAGCAUUUCUCAUUUCCAUAUAUCCUGUUUCACAUCUCUCUCUGUAUUAUACAUAAUAACAGGUGGCAGGUUUAAAGAACUCUUAACCGUGAUCCAAUGAAUGUGCUGCUGGUGCCUUAUGUUUGUACUUUUGGUUGGAAUGACAAUGAACGACAUUUCUUGUCGUCUCUCUUGACCUACAGUUAACAGAUGCAGGAACAAGGAGAAACAGACAAACACUUGGAUUACCCAGAAGAAGCACCAGAUCUCAGUAAGCCUGAAGUUUGUGAAGGGGUUGAGCUGAGCAGUGAGUCCUCUGCCCUUGUAAAGUGUCAGCAGUGUUUGUUCUAUGUGGAUUCUAAACUCAAGGAGCUUGGUCGAUCAAAUGCCAGCCACAACCAAUGCUCCCUCCAAGUAAAGGGGUCAGAGCUGCCUGGGUGGAAGCCCAGAGGGCUGUGGUCAAAGGUCACCGUCCAGUGUCAUUAUGAAGAAGAGAAGAAGAAAAGGCAAUACCAUGACAUAAUUAUGUUUUUAUGUAGCUGCCUCACACUUUUCCUCCACUUUGCCACCAUAGUGCUUUUUUGGUUUUCUGUGCAUAAACAGUACAGUGGGCUGGCACACAACAUAUAAGCAUGUUAUAAAUGAGUAACCGUUGGAAUUGUGGUUUAUUGAAAGGAUUUGAUGAUUUGAUGUUUCCUUUCAAAUAGUCAUUUGUCCUCAUCCCUUUGUUACAAUAACAGGAAGGUGAAGAUGAUUUGUGCUAUGCCACCUUGUCCCAUGCUGGUGCUCCUCCAUCCUACUCAGUCAAGUUUGAACAAGGCCAUGACUAUGCCACAGUGGUCAUAUACUGACCAGCAUUGCCGAACUGAAUGGACAUGAAAGGACUUCCAAAUGGAUAGAUUGCUUGACUUUAACACCUACAUUUCAAUUUUCUUUCCAAGAAAUCAUUUGCAUAAAUCUAUUUGCAAUGUAGUUUUGAUUAUCCAAUUUGUCACAUUAAGAGAACAAUAAAGUUUUUGUAUUCCAC